AUCCAGAUGACGAGUCGCAAAUGGGACGAGAUGCGUAUCCUGGGU
rnacentral:hammerhead_ribozyme from 1 species